GGAUGUGAGGGCGAUCUGGCUGCGACAUCUGUCACCCCAUUGAUCGCCAGGGUUGAUUCGGCUGAUCUGGCUGGCUGGCGGGUGUCCCCCUCCUCCCUCACCGAUCCAGGUGCAUCCCUCCCGAAGAAGUCUUAGUUCACAGGCUAUAUCUAAAAACAGACCACAGGCCACAUUUGGUCUGUGGCUAUAGUUUGCUGACACCUGGUGUUUGUGCUCAUAUCAUUAAUUCCAUAUUAACUUGCCUUUUCCAUUUUUUAAGU
rnacentral:snRNA from 1 species